GAUGAACGCUGGCGGCGUGCCUAAUACAUGCAAGUCGAGCGAACGGACGAGAAGCUUGCUUCUCUGAUGUUAGCGGCGGACGGGUGAGUAACACGUGGAUAACCUACCUAUAAGACUGGGAUAACUUCGGGAAACCGUAGCUAAUACCGGAUAAUAUUUUGAACCGCAUGGUUCAAAAGUGAAAGACGGUCUUGCUGUCACUUAUAGAUGGAUCCGCGCUGCAUUAGCUAGUUGGUAAGGUAACGGCUUACCAAGGCAACGAUGCAUAGCCGACCUGAGAGGGUGAUCGGCCACACUGGAACUGAGACACGGUCCAGACUCCUACGGGAGGCAGCAGUAGGGAAUCUUCCGCAAUGGGCGAAAGCCUGACGGAGCAACGCCGCGUGAGUGAUGAAGGUCUUCGGAUCGUAAAACUCUGUUAUUAGGGAAGAACAUAUGUGUAAGUAACUGUGCACAUCUUGACGGUACCUAAUCAGAAAGCCACGGCUAACUACGUGCCAGCAGCCGCGGUAAUACGUAGGUGGCAAGCGUUAUCCGGAAUUAUUGGGCGUAAAGCGCGCGUAGGCGGUUUUUUAAGUCUGAUGUGAAAGCCCACGGCUCAACCGUGGAGGGUCAUUGGAAACUGGAAAACUUGAGUGCAGAAGAGGAAAGUGGAAUUCCAUGUGUAGCGGUGAAAUGCGCAGAGAUAUGGAGGAACACCAGUGGCGAAGGCGACUUUCUGGUCUGUAACUGACGCUGAUGUGCGAAAGCGUGGGGAUCAAACAGGAUUAGAUACCCUGGUAGUCCACGCCGUAAACGAUGAGUGCUAAGUGUUAGGGGGUUUCCGCCCCUUAGUGCUGCAGCUAACGCAUUAAGCACUCCGCCUGGGGAGUACGACCGCAAGGUUGAAACUCAAAGGAAUUGACGGGGACCCGCACAAGCGGUGGAGCAUGUGGUUUAAUUCGAAGCAACGCGAAGAACCUUACCAAAUCUUGACAUCCUUUGACAACUCUAGAGAUAGAGCCUUCCCCUUCGGGGGACAAAGUGACAGGUGGUGCAUGGUUGUCGUCAGCUCGUGUCGUGAGAUGUUGGGUUAAGUCCCGCAACGAGCGCAACCCUUAAGCUUAGUUGCCAUCAUUAAGUUGGGCACUCUAAGUUGACUGCCGGUGACAAACCGGAGGAAGGUGGGGAUGACAUCAAAUCAUCAUGCCCCUUAUGAUUUGGGCUACACACGUGCUACAAUGGACAAUACAAAGGGCAGCGAAACCGCGAGGUCAAGCAAAUCCCAUAAAGUUGUUCUCAGUUCGGAUUGUAGUCUGCAACUCGACUACAUGAAGCUGGAAUCGCUAGUAAUCGUAGAUCAGCAUGCUACGGUGAAUACGUUCCCGGGUCU
rnacentral:rRNA from 1 species